rnacentral:rRNA from 1 species
UGGGGAAUAUUGGACAAUGGGGGCAACCCUGAUCCAGCAAUGCCGCGUGUGUGAAGAAGGUCUUCGGAUUGUAAAGCACUUUCGACGGGGACGAUGAUGACGGUACCCGUAGAAGAAGCCCCGGCUAACUUCGUGCCAGCAGCCGCGGUAAUACGAAGGGGGCUAGCGUUGCUCGGAAUGACUGGGCGUAAAGGGCGUGUAGGCGGUUUACACAGUCAGAUGUGAAAUCCCCGGGCUUAACCUGGGAGCUGCAUUUGAUACGUGUAGACUAGAGUGUGAGAGAGGGUUGUGGAAUUCCCAGUGUAGAGGUGAAAUUCGUAGAUAUUGGGAAGAACACCGGUGGCGAAGGCGGCAACCUGGCUCAUGACUGACGCUGAGGCGCGAAAGCGUGGGGAGCAAACAGGAUUAGAUACCCUGGUAGUCCACGCUGUAAACGAUGUGUGCUAGAUGUUGGGUAACUUUGUUAUUCAGUGUCGCAGUUAACG